rnacentral:rRNA from 1 species
GACGAACGCUGGCGGCGUGCUUAACACAUGCAAGUCGAACGGAAAGGCCCUGCUUUUGUGGGGUGCUCGAGUGGCGAACGGGUGAGUAACACGUGAGUAACCUGCCCUUGACUUUGGGAUAACUUCAGGAAACUGGGGCUAAUACCGGAUAGGAGCUCCUGCUGCAUGGUGGGGGUUGGAAAGUUUCGGCGGUUGGGGGUGGACUCGCGGCUUAUCAGCUUGUUGGUGGGGUAGUGGCUUACCAAGGCUUUGACGGGUAGCCGGCCUGAGAGGGUGACCGGCCACAUUGGGACUGAGAUACGGACCAGACUGCUACGGGGGGCAGCGGGGGGAAAUAUUGUACAAUGGGGGGGAGCCUAAUGCAGCAACGCCGCGUGCGGGAUGACGGCCUUCGGGUUGUAAACCGCUUUCGCCUGUGAAGGAGCGUGAGUGACGGUAAUGGGUAAAGAAGCACCGGCUAACUACGUG